rnacentral:rRNA from 1 species
AAAUUGAAGAGUUUGAUCAUGGCUCAGAUUGAACGCUGGCGGCAGGCCUAACACAUGCAAGUCGAACGGUAGCACAGAGAGCUUGCUCUCGGGUGACGAGUGGCGGACGGGUGAGUAAUGUCUGGGAAACUGCCUGAUGGAGGGGGAUAACUACUGGAAACGGUAGCUAAUACCGCAUAAUGUCGCAAGACCAAAGAGGGGGACCUUCGGGCCUCUUGCCAUCAGAUGUGCCCAGAUGGGAUUAGCUAGUAGGUGGGGUAACGGCUCACCUAGGCGACGAUCCCUAGCUGGUCUGAGAGGAUGACCAGCCACACUGGAACUGAGACACGGUCCAGACUCCUACGGGAGGCAGCAGUGGGGAAUAUUGCACAAUGGGCGCAAGCCUGAUGCAGCCAUGCCGCGUGUAUGAAGAAGGCCUUCGGGUUGUAAAGUACUUUCAGCGGGGAGGAAGGUGUUGUGGUUAAUAACCACAGCAAUUGACGUUACCCGCAGAAGAAGCACCGGCUAACUCCGUGCCAGCAGCCGCGGUAAUACGGAGGGUGCAAGCGUUAAUCGGAAUUACUGGGCGUAAAGCGCACGCAGGCGGUCUGUCAAGUCGGAUGUGAAAUCCCCGGGCUCAACCUGGGAACUGCAUUCGAAACUGGCAGGCUAGAGUCUUGUAGAGGGGGGUAGAAUUCCAGGUGUAGCGGUGAAAUGCGUAGAGAUCUGGAGGAAUACCGGUGGCGAAGGCGGCCCCCUGGACAAAGACUGACGCUCAGGUGCGAAAGCGUGGGGAGCAAACAGGAUUAGAUACCCUGGUAGUCCACGCCGUAAACGAUGUCGAUUUGGAGGUUGUGCCCUUGAGGCGUGGCUUCCGGAGCUAACGCGUUAAAUCGACCGCCUGGGGAGUACGGCCGCAAGGUUAAAACUCAAAUGAAUUGACGGGGGCCCGCACAAGCGGUGGAGCAUGUGGUUUAAUUCGAUGCAACGCGAAGAACCUUACCUGGUCUUGACAUCCACAGAACUUUCCAGAGAUGGAUUGGUGCCUUCGGGAACUGUGAGACAGGUGCUGCAUGGCUGUCGUCAGCUCGUGUUGUGAAAUGUUGGGUUAAGUCCCGCAACGAGCGCAACCCUUAUCCUUUGUUGCCAGCGGUCCGGCCGGGAACUCAAAGGAGACUGCCAGUGAUAAACUGGAGGAAGGUGGGGAUGACGUCAAGUCAUCAUGGCCCUUACGACCAGGGCUACACACGUGCUACAAUGGCGCAUACAAAGAGAAGCGACCUCGCGAGAGCAAGCGGACCUCAUAAAGUGCGUCGUAGUCCGGAUUGGAGUCUGCAACUCGACUCCAUGAAGUCGGAAUCGCUAGUAAUCGUAGAUCAGAAUGCUACGGUGAAUACGUUCCCGGGCCUUGUACACACCGCCCGUCACACCAUGGGAGUGGGUUGCAAAAGAAGUAGGUAGCUUAACCUUCGGGAGGGCGCUUACCACUUUGUGAUUCAUGACUGGGGUGAAGUCGUAACAAGGUAACCGUAGGGGAACCUGCGGUUGGAUCACCUCCUUA